CCCUUAGAUGUUCUGGGCUGCACGCGCGCUACACUGACGCACGCAACAGGUGCCUGCUCCGAGAGGACUGGGUAAUCAUUUGAGUGUGCGUCGUGAUGGGGAUAGAAUAUUGUAAUUAUUACUCUUCAACGAGGAAUUCCUAGUAAGCGCAAGUCAGCAGCUUGCGCUGAUUACGUCCCUGCCCUUUGUACACACCGCCCGUCGCUACUACCGAUUGAACGGUUUAGUGAGGGCCUCGGAUUGGUCUCGGCCCGCUCUUUACCGGGCGGCGCCGUUGGUCGAGAAGACGCUCGAACUUGAUCGUUUAGAGGAAGUAAAAGUCGUAACA
rnacentral:rRNA from 1 species